GAUUUGUAAGAUUUAAAGAUUAUCUUGAUGAUAAAGAAGAAUGUCUGAAUGUGUGCCAUCAUUGCCGAGCUGUGGGAAUUUCAGAGAAUUAAUUGCUCAUAUCACAAAUCUUACCAAGAAGAAGGGGGUCAUUUUUGUUUUGGAUGCUGGAACCUCAAAAUACAUUUUCUGCUCUGAGAGAGAGGUUUAUUUCUGCCCUGAUUCUCUGUCACCCAAAUAUUUCACUACAUGUUCAGCUGGUCAUGUUUUGCCAAAUCAAUAUGCGG